rnacentral:rRNA from 1 species
GUCCACGCCCUAAACGAUGUACACUAGAUCCGGGAGGCUCUGACGCCAUCCGGGUCGAAGCUAAAGUAUUUAGUGUACCGCCUGGGGAGUACGGUCGCAAGGCUAAAACUCAAAGGAAUUGACGGGGGCUCACACAAGCGGUGGAGCAUGUGGCUCAAUUCGAAGCAACGCGAAGAACCUUAUCCUGGGCUUGACAUGCACGGAUUAGUCCCGAGAAAUCGGGAUCAGGCCCGCAAGGGUACAACGUGCACAGGUGCUGCAUGGCUGUCGU